rnacentral:rRNA from 1 species
GAUGAACGCUGGCGGCGUGCCUAACACAUGCAAGUCGAGCGAACGGACGAGGAGCUUGUUGCUUGGAUGUUAGCGGCGCAGGGGAGAGUAACACGUGGAAACUCCCCCUAUAAGACUGGGAUAACCUCGGGAAACCGGCGCUAACCCCGGAUAAUAUUUUGAACCGUAUGGUUCAAAAGUGAAAUACGGCCUUGCGGUCUGUUAUAGAUGCAUCCGCGCUGCAUUAGCUAGUUGUUACGGUAACAGCUUAUCAAGGCGACGAUGCAUAGCCGACUGCAGAGGGUGAUCGGCCACACUAGAACUGAGACGCGGUCCAGGCUCCUGCGGGAGGCAGCAGUAGGGAAUCUUCCGCAAUGGGCGAAAGCCUGACAGAGCAACGCCGCGUGAGUGAUGAAGGUCUUCGGAUCGUAAAGCUCUGUUAUUAGGGAAGAACAUAUGUGUAAGUAACUGUGCACAUCUUGACGGUACCUGAUCAGAAAGCCACGGCUAACUACGUG